rnacentral:rRNA from 1 species
ACUCCUACGGGAGGCAGCAGUGGGGAAUAUUGCACAAUGGGGGGAAACCCUGAUGCAGCCAUGCCGCGUGUGUGAAGAAGGCCUUGGGUUGUAAAGCACUUUCAGUAGGGAGGAAGGUAGUGUAGUUAACACCUGCAUUAUUUGUACGUUACCUACAGAAGAAGCACCGGCUAACUCCGUGCCAGCAGCCGCGGUAAGUACGGAGGGUGCGAGCGUUAAUACGGUAAUUACGUGGGCGUAAAGCGCAUGCAGGCGGCCUGUUAAGUCAGAUGUGAAAGCCCGGGGUCGUUAACCUCGGAAUUGCAUUUGAAACUGGCAGGCUAGAGUCGUUGUAGGAGGGGGUUAGAAUUUCGAGGUGUAGCGGUAGAAAUGCGUAGAGAUCGUGAAGGAA